rnacentral:rRNA from 1 species
GAUGAACGCUGGCGGCGUGCCUAAUACAUGCAAGUCGAGCGAACAGACGAGGAGCUUGCUCCUCUGACGUUAGCGGCGGACGGGUGAGUAACACGUGGAUAACCUACCUAUAAGACUGGGAUAACUUCGGGAAACCGGAGCUAAUACCGGAUAAUAUAUUGAACCGCAUGGUUCAAUAGUGAAAGACGGUUUUGCUGUCACUUAUAGAUGGAUCCGCGCCGCAUUAGCUAGUUGGUAAGGUAACGGCUUACCAAGGCAACGAUGCGUAGCCGACCUGAGAGGGUGAUCGGCCACACUGGAACUGAGACACGGUCCAGACUCCUACGGGAGGCAGCAGUAGGGAAUCUUCCGCAAUGGGCGAAAGAUUGACGGAGCAACGCCGCGUGAGUGAUGAAGGUCUUCGGAUCGUAAAACUCUGUUAUUAGGGAAGAACAAAUGUGUAAGUAACUAUGCACGUCUUGACGGUACCUAAUCAGAAAGCCACGGCUAACUACGUG